rnacentral:rRNA from 1 species
GACGAACCGUCCUAACGUUGUUCGGAAUCACUGGGCUUAAAGGGCGCGUAGGCGGCCCUUCGAGUCGGGGGUGAAAUCCCACGGCCCAACCGUGGAAGUGCCUCCGAUACUGGAGGGCUCGAGGGGGGUAGGGGCAGGUGGAACUUCCGGUGGAGCGGUGAAAUGCGUUGAUAUCGGAAGGAACGCCGGUGGCGAAAGCGACCUGCUGGACCCCUUCUGACGCUGAGGCGCGAAAGCCAGGGGAGCGAACGGG